CAUACUAGCGCUCUGGCAUGAGGUUAACUUAUUCUAGGUUCAAAACCUGGGUAUAGGGUCUAGACUGUGUACCCGAGUAGAUAACUCAAGUCGAGGAGGGGGCUAUGUACCGGGAACCAAAAGGUCAUCCGGCUAGUAACGUUUCCGAGCCUCUUUCUUAUUUUAAGGUAUGACACUAACAGAAUAGGAAGUCUUGACCAACGAGCAUAUCCCCAAAGAUGAGAAGAGAAGGGUUUCGCGGAAGUUUAUACACAGUUCAAAUAAUAUUAAAGCAGUAAAAGGCAACAUUUAGCACAUUGGGCACAAUCAUGUAAUAAAAUCACAUAAUAACAAAGCCAAAUACAAUAAUAAUUUUUAAGCUCGAAUUCUUGAACCCUGAACCAGAGAUUCUAGGUUCGAUCCCCAGCAGAGUCGCUAGAGCUGUCACACCUCUUU
rnacentral:lncRNA from 1 species